rnacentral:lncRNA from 1 species
GCUUCCUGGAGGAAGUGAGUGGGGCUCAGAGAGUGGUCCCCCAGGUGAGGGGAAGGCCUGCUCUUCAGCACCCAUGUGUGAGGGGCCUGUGAGGUGCCUGAGGGAGCCCUGGACCAGCGGAGGUGGCCUGGAGGUUUGGUUUGGUGGUUGAGUGAUGGCUGUGAGCCCGUGGUGCUGCCUAAGCAACUGGAAGCCUAAGAUGAGGACAAGGCAGAAGGAGGAAGAGAAGUGAAAAGGAGGAGGCGAGGAAGAAGAGCGAGAAGGAGGAGGAGGAGAGCAGCGCCCUCGGAUCCCAGGCUCAGAGGCCCCGCCUGGCCGGUUCCCUUCCUGGCGGCAUUGGUGACACCUUUGUCCUUCUGGUGCAUUUCAAACUUCUGAGGCAGCUCCAGAAUUGUUGGGUAGGUAGCAAGUUUGGGGUUUUUAUCCUUUUCCUCCUAAUUGCAAGGCCUGUGAGAACAGUUAGCAGUUGCCAUCUGCACAGUAUUCAUUAUCCUGCUGCAGCGGGGGAAAAUGAGUAAUUUUAGCACAAAAUGUAGAACUGCCCUGAAAUUCAAAUUGCAGUAAGUUGACAAGAGUUAUGAUGUUUGUGGAAAAGCUCAUCUAGGAGGCUAAAGGGACCAUGCGGGGAGCAGCAGCCUCACCACCGAGAAAAAUGGCUGCAGUCAGAGGCGGGCGAGGCCUGGGGCGGGCCACUGCCCACUCUGCCCAGAGUGCCAGGGCCGAGGCUGCUUGGCAAUUUUCCCUUCACCCUCUUGCUCUUGACCAUAAAACAAGGCGGAGGAAGCAGGAGGCUGGGGAGCACCUCCGCAAAUAAAGGAGUGAGCAUUCCAGAGAGCAUAGCUGACGAGGCAGAAUUCUUGCCAAGUGAGUUGACUCUGCAUUGAAGGGGAGGUUUCUCCUGCCUUCUGGAAACAGGAUAUUUUCUUAAAGGGGUCACCAAGAUCACCCCUGAUCAGUCCACAAACAAUGUACCUGGGCCUUCAGCCCGUGGCCUACUCCCAGGCCCAGAGGAACGAAUGUCCCGGCAGCAGGAGGAAAGGAACAUGUCUACAGAUACCAGUUGUUCAAAUAAUAGCAAAGAUGGAAAUGCAGCUGCCAAUGUACAAACUGACAACUACCCUAAACACUCUUUUUGGCUCUAGUAACUUGUAAGUCCUUCCUUGCCCUCAAGAAUAAAACCAUUUAGGUUCUGCAUUCUUUGUGCAGAGGCUGGGCACGUGCAGGUCUUUUACGCUGUCUUCCUCAUCAAGUGGCGGAGGGCCCACACCCUUCCGUCCACCACAGCUGGGAGAACUAGCUCCUCUCAGGGUCUGUGGCCCUGGUGAGGCCUCAGUUUAACAGGC